AUAACCCCUCAACCCAUACAACCAACAGUAACACAAGAUGUAAAACGUAUGUGGCUGCUUAACGUUUGACCAACAAUGCGCUGCAGAGUGAAUACACUCUCUUCGUUUGACUUAAGUCUUGCGCGGAUGGAAACUACGUGGGAGUUGAAGAUAGAAGCGAGAUGCAGAGAGUUAUGGCCGCUGCGCAGGUACAGUUUUCAGUUUGGAGCUUUAACGCGUUAAGCAUCACUAAUCACCGGCGGACCGAAUGAUUCCCGAUUUCGUUCCGAAGCGUCGUCGUCGUCGUCGUCAAGGACUUUACAAACAUUAACGUUGUGGGUUAACCAUUAGCGAGAGGAAGCGAGACGCAGCGUUUACGGCUAGCCUUAAUGCGGUAAUUAAUUAGCCGAAUUCAUAUACUAAUGCGCGCCACGAAAAAUUAAUGAGAUAAUUAUCGGAAAUUAUUUGAUGAUGCGCGACGUGCAAGCGUCAACGGACGCGGAUAACACGUUCAUUUCGACAGAGAUUUUGUGCUAGUGCACAUGCGUAGUAAAUCAUUAAGUACACAGUGUAUAAUAAAUUGAUUGAAUAUUAAAUUGUUUAUAGUGUAUUAUGUUUUUUGUUGUUGUAAAUUGUUGAUAAAUGUCACUAAAUUGCAUUGAAAGUAAAAGUAAAUUUAAGUUUUGUUUUUACUGAAAAACUAGUUUUUGAAAACUUUAAUACUUUUAUAAGAAAACAUGUUAUUUUUUAUUUUCGUGCCAAUUUGAUUUUGUAAUUAAUUAUUAUCGUAAAGUUUUGUUUUAAAGCGUAAAAACAAAAAUAUUUAAAAUUGUAAGAAGCGCCUUCUUUUUAAGCCGUGGCUAUGGCCUGUGACUAAAGUACUUUAGUCACAACCUCGGCCGUCCGUGUUUAAAGCAUCACUUUUUGUAUCUCAAAACUCUGAACCACCUUUUAUCUUGUUUUUUGAUUUGCAUUAAAUAAAAACACUCGGUUUAUUAACAUAAAAUAAAUAUAUUUGAUAAAAA